UUCAAGACCAGUCUAGCCAACAUGGCGAGACCAUGUCUCUACUAAAAAUACAAAAAUUAGCUGGGCAUGGUGGCACAUGCCUGUAAUCCCAGCUUCUCGGGAGACUGAGGCAUAAGAAUCUCUUGAACCGGCCAGGCGCGGUGGCUCAAGCCUGUAAUCCCAGCACUUUGGGAGGCCGAGACAAGCAGAUCACGAGGUCAGGAGAUCGAGACCAUCCUGGCUAACACGGUGAAACCCCGUCUCUACUAAAAAAUACAAAAAAACUAGCCGGGCGAGGUGGCGGGCGCCUGUAGUCCCAGCUACUCGGGAGGCUGAGGCAGGAGAAUGGCGUGAACCCGGGAGGCGGAGCUUGCAGUGAGCUGAGAUCCAGCCACUGCACUCCAGCCUGGGUGACAGAGCCAGACUCCAUCUCAAAAAAAAAAAAAAAAAAAAAAGAAUCUCUUGAACCCAGGAUGCAGAGGUUACAGUGAGCUGGGAUCUCGCCACUGCACUGCAGCCUGGGCUCCUGGGUGACAGAGCGAGACUCUGUCUCAAACAAAUGAACAAAAGAAGAAGAAGGGAAUUUGGACACAAAGACACAGGCAGUGGGUCUCCUAUCUAUAUAAGAGAACAGCAUGUAACGACACAGAGGUGCACACAGAAAAGAAGGCGAGUUGAAGACAGAGGCAGAGAAUGGGUUUGUGCUGCCACAAGCCAAGGCACGGUUGGAGCCAACGGCAGCCAGAAAAGACAGGAAAGAAUUCUUCCCAAGAGCCUUCCAAGGAAGCACGGCCCUGCAACACCUCGAUCUCAGACUUCUAACCUCCAGAACUGUAAGAAAAAGAAAUUCUGUGUUCUAAGCCACCCAGGUUUGUAGUACUUUGACUCUCUCCUCAUUUAAUCUUCACUCAACCCUGUGAGGGGGCAUGAUGGCCCCUAUUUUAUGGAUAAGGAAAUUGAAGGGCAUCAGUAUUUUUCUCUUCACUCCUGUGUGUUAUCUCGCUACCUUUCUGUGGAGACCACUGUUCUAGAUGAUGAAUUCCUGGAAAGCAAGACCUCAGGCUUUCCAUCUUUGCUGUUCCCCAGCCCCCAGCACAGGGUCCUAACAGUGCUUGUGGAA
rnacentral:lncRNA from 1 species